rnacentral:misc_RNA from 1 species
CACCCCUCAAGCCAGGCUUGGUGUUGGGCGACGUCCUCUUUGGGGACGCGCCUCGAAUCGUUCGGCGGCGUGGCACCGGCUUUAAGCGUAGCAGAAUCUUAUCUUUCGCUUUGAAAGUCGGGGCCACGUCUGCCGGAAGACCUACUCGCAA